UCGUUUCCACGUGGAGGGGUAGUGCUUUCACUGCUUCUUGGGGAGAGUCACAGGCGUACAUAUGUACACAUACGCACUCUGUCGUUGUGUUUGAGAAGGAAGUGGCAGAGGAAAAAUGAUUCUUAUCGGCCUGACGGGCGGAAUUGCCUGCGGCAAGUCAUCUGUGUCGCGAAUACUGCGAGACGAGUUUCACAUCGAAGUCAUCGAUGCCGACCUUGUCGUGCGUGAGCUGCAGGCCCCGAAUUCUGCGUGCACUCGACGAAUUGCAGCGCGGUGGCCCCUCUGUGUGCAUCCAGAGACUGGGGAGCUGAACCGCGCAGAAUUAGGCAAGGUCGUCUUCAGCGAUGCACAAGCUCGACGGGAGCUAGGAAAGAUAAUGAACCCCGCGAUCUUCAAGGCCAUUCUGAAGCGCAUUGCCGCCGCGUGGUGGCGUGACCUUUGGCGCAGUGGCGCCGCCUCGUCGCCAUCCAUUGUGGUGUUGGACGCGCCUACAUUGUUCGAAACCAAAACGUUCAUGUACUUUGUCAGCGCCUCCGUCGUGGUGAGCUGCUCAGAGCAGCGUCAGAUCGAGCGACUGCGCAGCCGAGACGGUUUCUCGAAAAAGGAGGCGCUGCAGCGUAUCGGUAGCCAGAUGUCUCUCGAGGCAAAGCGUCGGCUUGCCGACUACAUUAUCGAGAACGACUGCGCAGACGACUUGGACGCGCUUCGCGGAGUUGUGUGCGCGUGUGUUGCGUGGAUGUCGCGGCAGUCAAACAAGCGGCUCACGUACAUGUUUGGCACCGUGGCUGCUGCUGCGGUUGGUGUGGCGGCCGCCGUGGGCUACGCUGGUUACCGACUACUGCUAGCGUGAGGGGUUGUGCUUGUUUUAUUAUCAUGCUUGCGUGGAGGUACCUGCCCUCCGUGUAGGGAGAAGCGUUUCAGCUGUCAUCAAGGAGACAGUUCUGACCCCCCCUCCCUUGACGGGGCUAGGAGAACAGUCUCUGCACUGUGCAUACUGGGCGCUCUCUUUCACAUGCAUGAGGGAAAACAAACAUCGACUCGCAACUACAACGUACCUCUUUUUUAUUGCUUAGCAAGGGCAUAACUCAGUCUUGUCGCAGCCAU
rnacentral:misc_RNA from 1 species